CUCGUAUCAGCAGCACUCAUCACCUGUGAGGCCGAAUCUGCAGCCCAUGCGAAACCUUUACUGCGCUCUCCUGCUUGGCCUGCUGGUGGUCACCUGCCUUCAGCCGUUCGCGCGCGCAGGCAACAAUGGAAAAUCGCAGAGGAAUGUUGUUUUAAUUUCUUCAUCAAACCAAUCCCAGUAAGAUCCAUCGUGUCCUAUGAAGAAACAAGAACUGACUGUCCAAAAGCUGCAGUCGUCUUUACCACCAAGAAAAAGCUCGUAUGUGUGUGGACCCCGGCUUCAAGUGGGUGAAGCGAGCCAUAGAGCAGAUGAUAUUAGAAAUAUGACGGCUCCGCAGGUGUUAAACCCCAUCUGGAUUAAUAGGAAAUCGCGUAUGGUUUCUUUAUGGAAUGCACUUUUCAUCUCCUUAUGACAGCAGCGCUAGGAUGGUCUCUGCCCUGGACCAGAGAAUAAAGCUUUUUUCUUAUAAAUCACUUUAAACAGAAAGCUCA